AUACGGAGGGUGCAAGCGUUAAUCGGAAUUACUGGGCGUAAAGCGCGCGUAGGCGGUUUAGUAAGUCGGAUGUGAAAGCCCUGGGCUUAACCUGGGAAUGGCAUUCGAUACUGCUUGACUAGAGUAUGGUAGAGGGAAGUGGAAUUUCCGGUGUAGCGGUGAAAUGCGUAGAUAUCGGAAGGAACACCAGUGGCGAAGGCGACUUCCUGGGCCAAUACUGACGCUGAGGUGCGAAAGCGUGGGGAGCAAACAGGAUUAGAAACCCUGGUAGUCC
rnacentral:rRNA from 1 species